GUUGGUACUCAGUGGACCCUGCCAGUGGGGGUUGUGCGCUGGUGUUUGUGGACCUUGCCAGUGGAGGUUGUGCGCUGGUAUUUGUGGACCCUGUCAGUGGGGGUUGUGCGCUGGUAUUCUGUGGACCCCGCCAAUGGGGGUUAAACGUUGGUCAUAGUCAAGGCUGUUGAGUUACGAGUGUUUUAAAUCGAAUCGGAUUUAUGAUUAUAUUAUAUGUGAAUAUUUGAAAAUAUUUGAUUUGUAUUAAAUUAGCAUGAAAUAUACUCUUAUGUUUAUUUGCAGCAUUAUUCUUGAAAAUUAUAUGAUAUCUGAAUUAUCCAGUUGAGAUAUUUGUUACUUACUGGGCUGUCUAGCUCAUUACCUUUCUUUCUAUUUUUCAGAUUCAGAUAAUUAAUUUCGAGCGUGGAAAGAAAUAUUGGG
rnacentral:lncRNA from 1 species